rnacentral:SRP_RNA from 1 species
GCUGGGCGUGGUGGCGUGCGCCUGUAGUCCCAGCUACCAGGAGGCUGAGGUGGGAGAAUGGCGUGAACCCGGGAGGUGGAGCUUGCAGUGAGCCGAGAUUGUACCACUGUACUCCAGCCUGGGUGACAGAGCGAGACCCCAUCUCGU